rnacentral:rRNA from 1 species
ACGUAGGAGACAAACGUUAUCCGGAUUUACUGGGCGUAAAGCGCGUGUAGGUGGUUUGGUAAGUAGAGCGUGAAAGCUCCUGGCUCAACUGGGAGAGGUCGUUCUAAACUGCCGGACUAGAGGAUGGUAGAGGGAGGUGGAAUUCCGGGUGUAGGGGUGGAAUGCGCAGAUAUCCGGAGGAACACCAGUGGCGAAAGCGCCCUCCUGGACCACCCCUGACGGUCAGUCGCGAAAGCUAGGGUAGCGAACGG